rnacentral:lncRNA from 1 species
CGAGCGGGCCGCGCCGGAGCUCGGGCGGCCCCCCGGGAGCUCACCUUCAGGCCGCGGCGGGCGGGGGCCGGGGCGGGGGGCAGGGCGAGAGCAGGGGGCGUCGGGCGGCCGCGCACCCCGGGGCCCUGCUCCUCGCCCCUUCCCCCGCCACCCCGUCCGGGCCCCGCGGCGGGGCGCGUUGGCGCGGGGAGGGACUGCAGAGGCCCGGUGACUCGCGUUGAAGGAGAAAGGCAACAAAAAAUAAAAAAGGAACAGAUGACUUCAUUCUCGGGAAGGCUCCGUCCUACACGGACCAAUUUCCUGGGGACUGUGGUGGAACAGCCCUGCUGCCGUUGGAAGCACUUAAAACUAAACCAGAUAAAGACCAGAACAUUCUGGGCCCUGCUGAACCAAGCCAGGGCAGGCUGCCGGGGCAUGCAAUUUCUGGCCACAUGGGGAGCUCCCCACUCUUGGACAUUAUCAGCUCAAAUGCAUACAGUUGCUGCUCUGGACAGGGAAGCCAGAGGAAAAAGCCUCUGCAGUGCACACCAUACCAUGGGUUCAGAAAAACAAAUGUUGGCCGGGCACGGCCCGCCUGUAAUCCCAGCACUUCGGGAGGCCGAGGCAGGAGGAUCACUUGAGGCCAGGAGUUUGAAACCAGCCUAGUCAACAUGGCAAAACCCAGUCUCUACUAAAAAUACAAAAAUUAGGCGUGGUGGUGCACGCCUGUAAUCCCCGCUACUAGGGAGGCUGAGGCAUGAGAAUCACUUGAACCUGGGAGGUAGAGGUUGCAGUGAGCCAAGAUCAUGCCACUGCACUCCAUCCUGGGCAACAGAGCAAGACUCCAUCUCAAAAAAUAAAAAUAAAAAAGUGUUUACACUUACAAGCAACUCCUAGUGAACAACCCAGGUUUUGGAAACAACUUUCAGAGACCCCUUUAGCCUGUUUCAUGUUUUCUUUUUCUUUUUCUCUUCCAAGGACAUGCGGUUAGCCUUUGGUCACGGAGACCUUUGCCCUUUCAAGAUAAAGUGAUCUUCAGCUCUCUUCCCAGCACCAGCCGCUCUCAGCUGCACAGCCCUCCCUGAAUGUGUGAACCAAAGUCACUGGUUCCAAGAAGAAAGAGCAUCCUCCAUCCCCACCCCACCCCCACCCCCACCCCACCCCACUCCCACCCCAUCCCACCCCAGCGCUUGUGGAGUGUAAGACAGAGGUUCCCAGCCCUGAGAUACGGACAGGCAUCGGGCAGGCCUAUACCUCCCUCCACGCCGAGUCACCAGCACUCACCCCACAGGCUGACCGUCCACGCAGAGCUGGUGGUGGGUUCAGAGGGUUUAGCUGAUGCGAGAGUCGGAGCCCUGGGCAAAGUUUGUGACAAAAUGACAGUAGACACCCAGUGUUGCAGAACCCCAGAUCUGGGAGGACUUCGGAGAUUACCCAGACCAACUACCCCCACUUCUUGUUUUACAGUUGGGCAAACUGAGGCCUGGAGAGGGGAAGGAGAUGGGGCUAAGAUGCGCCACCAGCUGGUGAUAGAGCCUAGAUGGGACCGUGGCGCUGUGCCUUCCAUUCAGGUGCUGGUUGCCCCACUCUUUCAUCUGUGGAAUUAUCUGUAUGAUCAGAAGUUUGGGGCUGGGGGCAGGACAACUGUCAGUCAGGGGCCACUGUCGCCAGAGUGCUAGGGUUCAAAUCCUUCCUUCUCAGCGAAGCCUUGGGCCAGCGAGUUCUUCUCUCCAAGACUUGGCCUCUUUAUGUGUUAAGUAAUGGGGGUAAUAACUGACCCUGGGCCGGGCGUGGUGGCUCACGCCUGUAAUCCCAGCACUUUAGGAGGAUGAGGAGGGCGGAUCACUUGAGGCCAGGAGUUCAGGACCAGCCGAGUCAGCAUGGUGAAAACCCAUCUCUCCUAAAAAUACAAAAAUUAGCUGGGCGUGGUGGCGGGCACCUGUAAUUCCAGCUACUUGGGAGGCUGAGGGAAGAGAAUCACUUGGACCUGGGAGGCAGAGGUUGAAAUGAGCAGAGAUUGCGUCACUGCACUCCAGUCUGGGUGAC